rnacentral:tRNA from 1 species
CGUCCUCCUGGUCUACGCCAAGACCUUCUGGGCCCUGGCCCUGGGCCUCGCCCUCCAGGGGGCGGGGCAGGGGCUCGCCCUCCCCGGGGUCAC